GAAUUCUGUGAAAUAAGCGUUUUUUGGGAUUCUGAAUGAUUUUUUUCUGUAUAUAUUUUCAUUUUCGAUUAGUUAGUGUGUAAUAUGUGUUCUUCAAUGAAGAUUUUAAUGCUUUAAUUUUGUUUUGUAAACUUCGAAUUUCCAAAAUUUGAAAUUCACAGUUUGGCAGUGGACUGGCGUAGAUUUAUAUUUUUCUAGGCCAUAUAAUAUAGGUCGUGGUGAGACCCAACAUUAGAUUUUUUGCAAUCAAAGUCCUGAAACUUUUCUUUAUCUCUUUUCUGUUUAAUUUCAUUUUAUCACCCAAUUUUACGUGCUCCUCCGGAGACCGCCAAAUUUAUUGGAAAAGAUACAUGUUCUGGUGUCUCGGUCUUCUGCUGGUUUACAACGUGAAUGUGCUCCUCCCGAAGAGUCUGCAAAAUACCUGAACUCAAGUCUCCUCACAUGAUUUACGAUACCUCCCGCAUUCGGAGAGCCUAUAGGGGGUGUCUGGCGAAUGGGUGAGAAAUGAGGGUGAAAAGGGGGUGUAAACUUGGAAAAGGAAAGAAGAAGACAUAUUUAUGACAGUCCAUGACUUUUUGACGGUCCGAUGGUUUAUGGCUAUGGGGAUGACAAUGCGAACAACUGACGACAAAAAUAAGGUGAGAAGAGAUUUUUGAGAGAUUUUUGGAUGGGUGAGAAAUCUGAGAAGACUUUAUUCGAAUUGUUCAUAUUUUUUAGAAUUUUGUAAAAAAUACUUCUGCUGUUAAAAAUGGAAAACCUCUAGAGCUCUGUGGAAGCACAAAAAUCAAGAAAUCUCGCGUGAAAAUAGUGAAAAAUUUACUAACGUUGUGAACAUAUUCACACUUUGAAGAUUUUCAGUGAAUUGGCUUUAAAGGUUAGCUUUUAUAACUUCAAAAUGACUAAAUAUAAAAAUACAUCACUCCAAAAAAAUGUUAAUUAAAAGAUGUUUUAAACGUCUAACUUUAAAUUAUUUGUUUAAUCAGAAUUUGCAAAAAAAUUAAAUUUAGUAUUUAUUUAAAUGUUUCUAAACACAACUGUUCAUUUUCACGCUCUUAUUUCAGGAAAAUUUUUUCAAAACUGUAAAACAAAAACCAUUUUUCACAGAAUCUAAGGGUAUCUGAAAGCUUAAAAUAACUUCAGAAAGAUAUCAAUUCCAGCUGUUUAGUACCUGAACUGUCUGUAAACGUUUCUUCUCGAAUUAUAGAAAAUUUUCCACUUUUUCAAGUUCAGGUUUUCAAGAAACCCCACGAUUUCCACUCAUCGUUUCCAAUGUCCAAUUUCCCAUCCAAUUUGCCGCACUCUGACCCAAUGACUUGUUCCUUUGCCAAUCAAUGCUACCUAAUAAAUUUAAAAGUUUAACACGCAUCCAAUUGACACACAGGUAACAGCCCUUUCUUCUUUUACAUAAUUCGGAAAUCUUCAAAGAGCCGAAGGUGUCGGUUGUAGCAGCAGCGGAGGAACGGAUGCCAAUUGCGCAACUCUCGGCUCAACUCUUUUAGUGCUCCGAGAGCAGGAAGAAGAAUACUGUUGGGUUGUAAUAAAGACGGAUGUUUUUGUUCAUAGUAGAUUAGCUCAGUGUUUGAUUGGAUUUGACCGGAUCAAGAGGGGAAUGUCCUGGUGGAAUUAAAUUUUAUUAGAAUAAAUUGUAUUUGGUGUUUAAAUUCGAAUCAAUAAUAUUUAUGAGCUUUAAUGAAUAAGUGUUAGAUUAUAUAAUUCUAUAAUUUUUGAACAAGCAAUUCAAAAAGAAAACAAAUUUUAGUAACCUCCGAAAUCAAGCUGGGUGGCCUCUAGAAGUUUUGAAAAAACUAUUUUUAUAUUCUGUUGGAGUUUUUUUAAGUUUUAUAAUUAUAGGUUAAUCUUUCUAAUUUGUAAGCUUUUUCUUAACCAAUUUUUUUUGUUAACAUUUUUUUGGAAUUAUGCUAUAUGACCUAUACCUAAAACAGUUUAAAAGUUUAAAAAAAUUUUCUAUAUUUUUCACUUCGUAUUGAACCUCCUGGGUACAUAUAUUGACAGCACAUAUCUUGUUUGUCUCAGAUUUUAUCAAAUAAGUUUAACAAGUAAACCAUGCACCAAAUAUUUUUCUAGGUCUCUGUAGUUAGGAAAUAUUUAAUAAAAAUAAAAAUAACCGAGAUAUGAGCCAUCAAAGUAGAUCAAUUAAGGCACAGGAAAAAAGAUCUGAAUAAAAUCGAAGUUCUUAAAAAUAUAAAUCAAAACAAAUUUUUUCCAGAAUUUCAGCCGAGAAUUUCCAGCCGAUUUGUUUAUAUUUUCCACAUCACUCCCCACACUUCUCUCACACAAACACGAUAAAAUCUUGAGAAGCAAUUAGCGCCAAUCAACUCAACACAAAAAGCAAAAGCCAACGAAAAGCUAAAGCUAUCAUCGUUGUCGCGUCUAUGAGCAACUCAAUCGUUCAUCAUCCUCAUCUUCAGAGUGCUCAAACCUACCGUAACCCGAAUUGGGCGGAGCCAAAGGGUCCGAAACAGUGCACCAGGGCGGGGAGGGCACCUGAGAAACGAGAGGGAAGUGAGCAAUUGUUGAAGUGUCAGUUGUGCUCAUCGAGGUCCGAUGAAGAGACGCGCCUGCUCACCUACACAACUGACUUCCCCCAUAUACCUUUUUCUAGAAUUUCCUUUUUUAGAUUUAUACGGUCAGGUAAAAAGGUAGAGUUUUACAGUGUAGAAAUUAGGAAAUUGCUCAAAAAGCCGAGCAGAAUGCAUAUAAGAAGUACCAUAGCCCCAAAGAUUCGAUUUUCCAGGGUUCAAUCAAUUUUUGUACUUUGACAGCGUAUAUCUCAGUUUUCUUUGAUUUUAUCAAAAACUAGUCAACUGACAAAAUACUUGAAAAGUAUUCCUUUAUAUUUUGGUAGCUGACCAUUGUUUGUUAAAAUAUAAGGGAAUCGAAAUGUCGGUUAUCAAAGUAGAACCUAACCUAAAUCGCUAUAUAUGCUAUUUUUCAAAAAAAAAAACACGUUUUACUUUGUCUCAACUUAUUAAUAUUCUUUAAUAUUUUUUCUAUUUCUACCAUUUUCCAAAUUUUCCAAUAAUUUUCCAGAA
rnacentral:misc_RNA from 1 species